GGACUUGUGGCGCAGCGGUAGCGCGUCUGAUUCCAGUUGAUCUUGAAUCUUCAAGAUCUAGGAAGUUCCAGAAGGUCAUCCGUUCAAAUCGGGUCAGGUUCA